GAACAAGAAUAAUUGAUAAAAUAUCCCCGCAGAAACAAAUGGGAGAGCCCAACAGCAUUAGCGUUCUCAUCUAUAUUGGUAAUCCUCAGGAUCAUGAAGACAAGAGGUGGUCUCUGCAAAUACUUGAAUAGUGAAAAGGAAGACUUUCAGGAUUACUUUGUUCACUGCGACUUGAACAAGUGCCUGUUAUGAUACCCUUUGUGAUUUCAUCAAUGGACUUGCGUACCCAGUUGCAGCACCCCCUCCCCAGGGAGCAGGAGCCCUCUCACCAGUGCCACUAAUGAUCACACUGGAACAGGAGCCCUCUGGAAGGUAGUAGCAGACAGGCUGUUCCCUCUCGCCUCUUCACACGGCCAAUCCACCAAGACAAAGAAGACCAGAGCAGGACUCCUCUAAAGGCGCCUGAGCUAACCAACACACCAAGGUGCUUUGGCGGCUAACAAGCCAAGAGCCUUCAGCUCUUCUGAGGGCUCGAUGCUGCCGAUGCUCUGCUCAGGGAGCCUGCGCCUUGCUCCUUGCCACUAGCGCACUUCCUCAAAAGCAGAGAAUCCUGGUGAUCCCUGUGCUCUGCUCCCGGUGCUCCUGUACUGCAUCAUAAACAAUCUCAUGAGGACCCUCUCUCUGGGUCUUCUUCCUUCUCUAUGAUGUUCUCUCAUGACGUUCCGGGCCAACUGCGUUGCUAAGAGUAGUGCCGGCCUAUUUAAAUGCCCUGGGGGCAGACCAGAGCAACAACUUUGGCAGCCAGGUCCACUCCUUGGCCUAUCCUGCCCCAGCUGCCGCGGACUGACGCAAAUUCAUAUCUGGGUCUGGCGGACCUCACCUCAAAAGGGAUAUUGUAGAGUUGGAAAUGGUUCAGAAAAGGGAACCAAAAUAAUCAAGGGAGUGGGGCAACUCUCCUUUGUGGAAAGGCAGAUCCAGUUUGGGCAGCAGGAGGAUCCAAAAUUGGAUCUGCACGCAAAGCAGAUGCUCUACUACUGAACUAAGUUCCCUCCCCAAAGCGUAUUUCUCCUCUUUCUUUUCCACGCUGCUGACUCAAGCCAGACCAGGCAGUUGUUGAAGAUCUUUGAAUGUCACUCCCCAACUAUUUAAGAUUGCACUUUAAAGUAAUAAGAAAACAAUGUUUUAAACCAUCACCUAUAAAUUAACUACCAGCUGUCCUGCCAGCAGCUUGUGCCAAUUUCUGUCUAACAAAAGGUUUCAGUUUAAUUCUUUCACAUUUAAGUCACCUUUUCAGUUACUCCUAUGAAAGGAUUGCCUCCCUGCUUUAAAGGUUUUCAUAACUAUAGGUCUGGAAAACAUCAAGUAAGAACCAACUUAUUCAAGUGAUCUGAAAGAUAAAUUAGAAUCCAAAGAAGAUUUUAACGCUGAAUUUAAUCUCAAGUAAAUAGGAUUAUGAAAGUUCAAUAGCAUCUUCAGCAUUAUUUUUUCUGACUGAAGUAUUCUAGAUAACUUCUGGGCUUAUUGAUUUAAUAUGAGUGUUUGUGUGUUUCCAACCAGGAAAACUGUGCUCAGCAUGAGAUUUUAUGCUUCAGCUCUAACAAUUCUGUCUUCCCACAGAGAUCUUCAAAAACCUACAUUUCAAGCAUUUUUCUUUGAAUGUCAUCUGAACAGAACAGCACGUCUAUUUUUCCUGCUUGGUUCUGAUUGGUAUCUCUUUGUUUCAGCCGAUGAAGAUGUAACAAGAUUUCAG